CCCUAGCUCCAGAGCAACUUGCUUGGUGUGGAAUGGACAGUGUAUUGCUGUAUUGGGAUGAUAUACUUCUGAUGGUGGGCCCUUAUGGAGAUCCAGUUCGCUAUCUUGAUGAUGAACCCAUUAUCCUUAUCCCAGAGUGUGAUCGAGCUAGGAUAUUGUCUAACUUAAACAUGGAGUUUCUUCAACAGGAGGAAUUUCCUCAUCCUCUAUCCCGUGUCAAGCAACCAGCUGGAUAUAGAGUAAGUUCAAUCAUUAAUAUUAUUAGUUCUUUUUGUUUCUAUUACAUAAUUAACUUUUGUAUUUUACAUGUGUUGUUGCAGUUGUCAUAUCAGAUAGUUGACUCUUUAAUUUGGCUUGGAAUUCGAGACAUGAUAACUGAUGUUAGGAAGAAAAAGUUGAAUCUGUGACCUGUCACGUAUUUUAGUGGUUCUCAAGGCUCUGAGACUGUUAUUCCACAUGGAUACAUAUGGAGUCCUCAUCUUGUUCCUAAACCAAAAGGUAAAUUUUCCCUAUAUUAACUAUUUAUUUGACUUUAUUAUAUGAGAUGGAUUAAUCAAAUCAUAAUAUUCACAGAUUGGGGACCUAAAAUUUAUGUGGUUCGAUUUUGUUUCCUUGAUCUCGCAUCAAACUACAAACCCCCUGAAGAACUUGUAUGAUGGCUUGAAGCUGGCCCAAAGGCUAUCUACAUUAGAUUUGGUAGCCUUCCAGUUCAAGAGCCUGAGAAAAUAACACAGACAAUCAUUAAAGCCCUAGAAAUAUCAGGACAAAGGGGCAUCAUCAACAAAGGAUGGGGUGGUCUUGGUAUCUGAAACUUUUCGGAGAAGGUCUGGGAUCAAGCACCAUUGGUUAACUACAAAAGCUUGAACAACAGCUAGAGAGGAGUGUAUCCAUCAUUUGUGCUUGAAAGAUGCAAGUAUAUAAUGAACAAAUUCAAGAACUACAAGCAAAGGAACAAUACAUAAAUACAAUUAUAUAAUGAACAAAUUCUAUUUUUUGUUCAUAUUUGUUCUCUAGUACAUUCUACCUUGUAGAAGACUGUUUAAUAAUCAUUUCUUCUAAUUUCAAACCAAAAAAAUGACACAAGUUAUUUAUUUUCGGAUUCUUCCAACUUCUUAUGAAACAGCUUCCUUAGAAGGCAAUGAUGGAAUCGCUC